AAGUCGUAACAAGGUUUCCGUAGGUGAACCUGCGGAAGGAUCAUUAACAACAUAUGCCACCCUUGCAAAUCAAACGCACACUGACAGAACGUUUGAUUCCAGUCAAUGAACACUGACAGAUCAUUGAACACUGGUCUUGAGGGUACCGGGUCACUUGCCUUACCAACCGCGACCGCCCAAGGUUAUUCAGAGGUCUCCGAAUCAAAGCUGUUCACUAUGAUUUACCAGAGAUUGCUGAGGUACUGGGAUCAAGCAGUUUGGGGCAGUAAACGAUCGCUGGAGGCCGACACGGCCGGCGACUGGGUCAGCGAGCUCUGCUCCCACUGUUACUACUUACAAGAUUUCCCAAUUAGUGAAAGCUAUUGGGCUAUAACUAAACGACUGUUAACAAUGGAUAUCUCGAUUCUC
rnacentral:misc_RNA from 1 species